UGGCACUACUAGUAAACAACCCCUUCCAUGUCAUUUAACCAGGGCAGAGCGAUUGAGAAAACAGAGUAAAUGGCUUGAAUGAAUGAUUUUGCUACGGGACAUCUCAUUAAUAUUCAUACGGGUAGGCCUAUGGGAAGUCUCAUGAGUCAAAUACGUGUCUCUUAUUGGCUAGCCAUGCUGCGUCCACUCUACACCGCCGUAGUUUGAAUGACGUGAAAUGUCAGUGUCAGUCGACGAAAACAAAUGCUACGUGAGGUAAAUUGCUUGGAAGAAAGGAGACCCGCCGUCGCCGUAGCCUGAUCUACAAUUCAACAGAGGGAGAGUUAAGAACACAAGAAGCAGAGUUGAAGAGCAGCAGGGUUGGCAGCAGAAAGAUUUUAGUAGAGAAGUGAGAGCGAGACCAAAGACAGGCAGGAGCAUCCAGUCCAUAAAGGAAGAAGGCAGGCAGGAGCAUCCAGUCCAUACAGGAAGAAGGCAGGCAGGAGCUUUCAGAGACAGACUGAGGGAGAGACAGAAAGUUCACCUGAAAUGUCUCUUUCUGCAUAUGUCCUUCAGUUGGACCAAUCCGAUUCCAAUAGACUAUAAUUGAGGAUGCCAUUCCCACCAAGGCACAGAUCAUGUAAAUGAUACCACGAUAUUGGCUGUUUUCACAUGGAAUGACCCAAAGGUGAAC